CCCUUAGACGUUCUGGGCCGCACGCGCGCUACGCUGACGAAGGCAACGAGCUUUCCUUUACCGAAAGGUACGGGUAAUCUUUUGAAACUUCGUCGUGCUGGGGAUAGAUCCUUGCAAUUUUUGAUCUUAAACGAGGAAUGCCUAGUAAGCGCAAGUCAUCAACUUGCGUUGAUUACGUCCCUGCCCUUUGUACACACCGCCCGUCGCUACUACCGAUUGAAUGGUUUAGUGAGGCCUUCGGAUCCGCGACUCGUUUGUGGAGAAGUUGGACAAACUCAGUCAUUUAGAGGAAGUAAAAGUCGUAACA
rnacentral:rRNA from 1 species